rnacentral:ncRNA from 1 species
CUGAUCGAGACGUUGGGCCAACGCCGGUGCAGCGCGCCCGGUUCCGGGAACAGGCUUUCCCGGAAACGUUGAAGAAUCAG